AACGAACGCUGGCGGCAUGCCUAACACAUGCAAGUCGAACGAGACCUUCGGGUCUAGUGGCGCACGGGUGCGUAACGCGUGGGAACCUGCCCUUAGGCUCGGAAUAACUCCUCGAAAGGGGUGCUAAUACCGGAUAAUGUCCUCGGACCAAAGAUUUAUCGCCCUUGGAUGGGCCCGCGUUGGAUUAGCUUGUGGGUAGGGUAAAAGCCUACCACGGCGACGAUCCAUAGCUGGUCUGAGAGGAUGAUCAGCCACACUGGGACUGAGACACGGCCCAGACUCCUACAGGAGGCAGCAGUGGGGAAUAUUGGACAAUGGGCGAAAGCCUGAUCCAGCAAUGCCGCGUGAGUGAUGAAGGCCUUAGGGUUGUAAAGCUCUUUUACCCGGGAUGAUAAUGACAGUACCGGGAGAAUAAGCUCCGGCUAACUCCGUG
rnacentral:rRNA from 1 species